rnacentral:lncRNA from 1 species
AUGCGCCCUGUUUGCUCUCUGUCAUAUCCCAGGGCUAUUGAAGGAGGCCAAAUGAGAUUUUUAGAGAGAGAGAAAGAAGAAGAAAGGAAAGGAAAGAAAGGGAAAGAAAAGGAGGAAGGAAGGAAGGAAGGAAGGAAGGAAGGAAGGAAGGAAGGAAGGAAGGAAGGAAGGAAGGGGGGAGGGAGGGAGGGAGGGAAGGGAAGGGGGAAGGAAGGAAGGAGAGGGAAGGAGGGAAGGAAGGAAGGAGAGAGGGAGGGAAGGAAGGAAAGGGAAGGAGGGAAGGAAGGAAGGAGAGAGGGAAGGAGAGAGGGAAGGAGGGAAGGAAGGAAGGAAGGAAGGGAAGGGAAGGGGGAAGGAAGGAAGGAGAGAAGGAGGGAAGGAAGGAAGGACAGAGGGAGGGAAGGAAGGAAGGAGAGAGGGAAGGGGGGAAGGAAGGAAAGGGAAGGAGGGAAGGAAGGAAGGACAGAGGGAAGGAGAGAGGGAAGGAGGGAAGAAAGGAAAGGGAAGGAGGGAAGGAAGGAAGGAGAGAGGGAAGGAGGGAAGGAAGGAAGGAAGGAAGGGAAGGGAAGGGGGGGGGGGAAGGAAGGAGAGGGAAGGAGGGAAGGAAGGAAGGACAGAGGGAGGGAAGGAAGGAAGGAGAGAGGGAAGGGGGGAAGGAAGGAAAGGGAAGGAGGGAAGGAGGGAAGGAAGGAAGGAGAGAGGGAAGGAGAGAGGGAAGGAGGGAAGAAAGGAAGAAAGAAGCCCAAAAAGAAAAAGUGUGAGCAUCCAAAGAGCUCUUCCGCGGCGCGGUGCUCCCCGGGCUCCCCCUGGGUACCCACCGCCCGCCCCGCCCCGCCCCGCCCCGCCCCGCCGGCCUCGGCCUCGGCCUCACCCACCGCAUCUCCAUCCUCUCCGUCCCUGGCUGCCCGCGUGCCCGAGGUCCUCCGUGUCUCCGGGCGCCCCGUCCGUUGGCGGGCCUGGCCCUCCGGGCCUCGGGGGCCGCCGGUCUCCCGCUCCCUGCGGCAGCGGCUGCCCGGGGGCCCGGCCCGGUGCGCCCUCCUUCGGCACGGCCGCCCGGCCGGAGGAUCGCCCAAUAAGAGCGCGGGGCUCCAGUCUGACAGCUCGGGAAGCGGCCAAUCGAGCCGGGCCAGGAAGGGGGGGCGCGGCGCGGGGGCUGAAGUUGGGCUGAGGGGGGAGGGGAGUCAAGGGGGAUGCAAAAGAGGGGAGCUUGGACUGGGGGCGCCGGGACCCAAGCAGGGGGGCGGGGGAGGCCCGGGGACGGGCGCGCCCCUCCCCCCCCCCCCCCCCCCCCCCCGCCCCCGCGCCCCCGCUCCCCGCUCCCCGCUCCCCGCCGCGGGUCGGGGCUCAGGACGAGGCUGCAGGCGCCCGGGAGGGAGGGGGCGCGGCGAGCCCUCUAGGUGA